UACAGAGGGUGCGAGCGUUGCUCGGAAUCACUGGGCGUAAAGGGUGCGUAGGCGGGUUUUAAGUCAGAGGUGAAAUCCUGGAGCUCAACUCCAGAACUGCCUUUGAUACUGAAAGUCUUGAGUAUGGGAGAGGUGAGUGGAACUGCGAGUGUAGAGGUGAAAUUCGUAGAUAUUCGCAAAGAACACCAGUGGCGAAGGCGGCUACUGGUCCGGUACUGACGCUGAGGUGCGAAAGCGUGGGAGCAACAGG
rnacentral:rRNA from 1 species